rnacentral:rRNA from 1 species
ACUAGAGUAGCACUCGCAUAUCAAUAAGCGGAGGAAAAGAAACUAACAAGGAUUCCCCUAGUAACGGCGAGUGAAGCGGGAAGAGCUCAAAUUUGAAAUCUUAAAGGGUUUCCCUUUACGAAUUGUAGUUUAAGGAAGUGUUUUCUGUUGAGGUUUUGGUAAAAGUUCUUUGGAAUAGGACAUCAUAGAGGGUGAGAAUCCCGUAUUUGACCUUUACUUUCAACUUUGUGAUACACUUUCAAAGAGUCGGAUUGUUUGGGAAUGCAGUCCAAAAUGGGUGGUAAAUUUCAUCUAAAGCUAAAUAUUGGCGAGAGGACCGAUAGCGAACAAGUACCGUGAGGGAAAGAUGAAAAGAACUUUGAAAAGAGAGUUAAACAGUACGUGAAAUUGUCGAAAGGGAAGCGUUUGACACCAGUGUUGUUUUUCUGAAAAUCAAUUAAAGAACUGUUUAUGCUAAGUUGUUUAGACUUUAUCAGCUAUCUGUUUAGUUUUGAGCUUUUCUUUAAUGCACUUUUCAGUUAACAAGUCAACAUCAAUUUCUUUUGCUGUAAAAAAGCUUGAGGAAGGUGGCUUGAGAUUCGUCUUAAGUGUUUAUAGCCUCUUGCCUAUGCAGUCGGAGAGAUUGAGGUCUGCAGCGUAGAUCCUUCGGGGCUAAAUGCAUUUGUGCUAAGUUAUAGCAUUUUAUAGACAACUUGUUGACUAUGAUUUGUCUUGUAGCUUACUCGCUUAUGUUAUUUUACCUACGCUUAGGAUGUUGAGUAGCGACAUACGCAC